GUCGUACUUUUUUGUUUUUAAUAGUUCUUUUAAAGCGUCUGGUCAUGUUGAUUGUAAAGUAGUGAACUGAUUCUGUGCACGUGUUAUGUUAACCUCAUUUCUCGUGUUACAUAGCGAUCACCUGCAGAUAAUGUUUGGGUCAGAUUUGUGAUAAAAAUAGAAUGACUUGCAGAAGGUUAAUUAGCUGAAAUAGUUAUGAAUGGAAUAUAUGACCUCCUAAGAUCUUCCCAUAGCGUAAAUAAUUGUAGUUUGUGGUUUUGGUCAAUGUAUUUAUUUUUUUAUAAUUUUUACAUUUUUCUGCACAUCCCAGAAUAUUAGAUUAUAAUACAAUUG
rnacentral:lncRNA from 1 species